rnacentral:misc_RNA from 1 species
UGAAGGUCCGCGAGGCUGCCCCUCG